GAGAGAGGUUAAUAACAACAAAAACUGCUAAUUUUUGCCCCUUAGGUUAAAUUCCUGAGCUCACUCG
rnacentral:tRNA from 1 species